GUGACUUACGCUGGGGUGGACUGAUGCUAAGGUUUUCCAAUGUUGCCUAUCUCGUUGGUUAGGAUUUGUUGGAUUCUUUCAGACAGCGUUAGGAAGUAAGAGAAAAGAAGUGAUGGGAAAUGGACACCUAGCCUCACUGGAACACGUGGCCGCUUGUGCAUUGUUCUAUUACUCGCAGCGUGGUUAGUUCAAACAUAGACAAGCGAUUUGAGUCAGGUACACGCCAGCUUAGGGGGCUCUGCCUACCGGUUCUAAUCUCUUAUGUGCAAGAUUUGGGCCUCGGAUUGAUCGCUUAAUCGCUGAAAAUGAAAUCAUUGAUAACAAAUUUUACUGAAAAUUUGAACUUAAGGAUGGGAUAUAGCUUCGUGGUGAAAGUAACAAUGACUUCGGAUAAAGAGAUUCUAAUAUGGAUAGUGCACCCAAUCCAGGGCCUAAAACCCCACAGGAGGAUUUGGACAAAGAGGUUGAUAUCAGGUGUAGAUGGCUUUUCCUCUCGGAAAUAUUUACUGAGUGUUAAUGUUUAGUUGUUGAAAAUGGCGAAUUGGUAUUUUCUGCCAUUAUUUUAAUGAUUAAAAUAGUUAGACAAACCAAAGGCUUUCAUUUGUUUGUAUUAUCCAUAAAAUAUAUGGCACUUUUGUGUGGCUCAGCAUUGAAGUAAUCUUUUUGAGUCUCAGUGGCUUUAAGUGUGUUUUAGUAGUUUUAGCAGUUUUAGCAGCUAUUAUUUUACAGAUUGUAUUUAAUACCAGUGUAAGGCUGUUAUUUAUUUUUAUGGUCAAAUAAGCUAUGGCUUUGAAGUAACUGUCACGAACAGUGUCAUGAACAGUAAGUUUGUUAAUUAACAUGCUUUUUUGUGGUUUUUCCUGUCAUGAUUGUACUCAUUUCAUGCUUAUAAGGGUUUGAUGCAAUACUUGCAUACUUCAUACUCUACAAAAUAAUCAUAGAGCUGGAACAAACCAUUUGUCCAUGCGGAAGACACAGUAGUCUGAUGUUAGUGCACUGGACUAUUGGUUCAGAAGUUUGUGAUCAAGACCUUGCUGAGUUGUUGCAUUGUGCUCUUUGGUCAAACAAGUUACUCUCACAGUGCCUUUCUGCACCCAGAAGUAUAGAUGAGUACUGGUGACCUGUUAAGGAAGCCUGAAAUAAUGCUGGGGGGCAAGGGAGGAGGGGAGGGGGGUUUAACCUGCAAUAGACUUGAUUCCCAUCCAGUGAGAACUUGCAGUAUUCCUAGUCACUUUGUUUGACAGAAACUGGGAUAAGCUGGAGCUGGAUGGGCAGCAUGGCUCAGGUGUAGACCUUUUAAAAUUUUGUUUAUCUGGCAAAUUUUAAAUUUUACACUCCUAGUGUUAAAAUUUUUAACAAUCUAAUAUUUCUUUAUUUCCAUGUAUGCUGCUUUGAAGCUCUCUAACUUCUCAAACAAAUUACAUUUUACACUUGUGUUAUUUUAUAGAUUUGAAGAAAAUGUUCCUUUUCAAACAAUUUUAACAAAGGAAAGUUUGGUUCAUUGGUUUCAUUUGUGACACAUUUUGGUGACCAAUCUAUCGAAUCAUCUGUUUUGUGGCACAAAUCUCACAAGGUUACAUAGUGAAGAACAGAGGGAUUGAUUUUCAAGGUGUAUGUUAAGGAGAGGUGAAAAAAUAAAUUAAUGCUUUUCUGGGUUUGUGUUGUACUAAAAUUAUUUCUUCCUUUACAUCAGACAUGUACAUGACAGCUGAACAUUUGCCACCCACCCAACCAUGCCAAAAGUACAUUCUGCACUAAAAACAGCCCCUGUUUCAACUGAUGUACUUUCCCAAUCACAUGUCAUAGUGCUCUAUUUAUAUGCAACUGUCUGCACAGCAGCUUUGUUGACUAACAUGGCAAAUCACUUGUUCUCAAAGCCAUUUGAGCAGUUCACACCAUCCCAGUGGUAUCCUGGUCAGAUUUUAAAUCUGUUUGGGGGAGGGUCUGGGCCCUUGUACACAGGUUUUUCUGUCAAAAGGAGA